rnacentral:rRNA from 1 species
GAUGAACGCUGGCGGCGUGCCUAAUACAUGCAAGUCGAGCGACCGCACGAUAAGCUUUCUCCUCUGAUGUUAGCGGCGGACGGGUGAGUAACACGUGGAUAACCUUCUUCUAAUACUGGGAUAACUUCGUGAAACCGGAGCUACUACCGGAUAAUAUUUUCAACCGCAUGGUUCAAAAGUAAAAGACGCUUUUGCUGUCACUUAUAGCUGGAUCCGCGCUGCAUUAGCUAGUUGGUAAGGUAACGGCUUACCAAGGCAACGAUGCAUAGCCGACCUGAGAGGGUGAUCGGCCACACUGGAACUGAGACACGGUCCAGACUCCUACGGGAGGCAGCAGUAGGGAAUCUUGCGCAAUGGGCGAAAGCCUGACGGAGCAACGCCGCGUGAGUGAUGAAGGUCUUCGGAUCGUAAAGCUCUGUUAUUAGGAAAGAACAGAUGUGUAAGUAACUGUGCACAUCUUGACGGUACCUAAUGAGAAAGCCACGGCUAACUACGUG